rnacentral:rRNA from 1 species
GACGAACGCUGGCGGCGCGCUUAACACAUGCAAGUCGAGCGAAGCGGCGGACGGGGGAGUAACACGUGAGUAACCUGCCUUAGACAUUGGGAUAGCCUCGGGAAACCGGGAUUAAUACCAAAUGGUCUAAGAUGGACUCGCGUCGCCUUAGCUAGUUGGUGGGGUAACGGCACCCCAAGGCGACGAUGGGUAGCCGGCCGGAGAGGGUGAACGGCCAAGUUGGAACUGAGAAACGGUCAAAACUCUACGGGAGGCAGCAGUGGGGGAUAUUGCACAAUGGAGGGAAUGCGGAUGCAGCGACGCUGCGGGAACGAAGAAGGCUUUCAAGUCGUAAAGUGCUUUUAUAUGGGAAGCGGUACCAUAAGAAAAAGCCCCGGCUAACUACGUGCCAGCAGCCGCGGUAAUAC